AAAGGAAGAAGAAAAUUGGUAUAAGUCAAAACCAGAAAUCAUUAAGCCAGAUAUCAACAAUUUUCAGAAUAUAACAAGAAUUUUGAGAAAUUAACAAGAAUUUAAAUUUAAAAAAAAAAACUAAUUACCUUUUUCUUUUAUAGCGUUUGUUGUCAAGGAGAUUACUUCAACCUUUAAUUUAAAAUUGAAAAUAGGAGCUAAGGUUUUAUUAGGAGAGGAGAAGUUGAUUGCAAUAGUAAUGGAAGCCAUUGAAAUGAACUAGCACAUUUGGAGAGGGAAAAAAAAAGGUGGCGAUGGUGAAGUGGCAGAGAAAAAGUUAGAGAAAGGUUGAAGGUGGGAAAGGCAGUAACCUAUAACAUGGAAAACUAUAAAUUUCUGAACAAAAAGAAAAUCUCUUCUUCAUCCACAUUUUGGCUACUGAAGAAGUUUUUCCCCUCUUCUCUUUAGAGUUUCAAAACAGUAAAUCAUAACAGAAGGGUGUGAAACAAACUAAAAACAAAUGAAUUCAACAACCAAUAGCCAAAACUUUUUAUUGAGCAGGGAAUCCCCUUUCGAUAGCAAUUGCAGAAAACUUAUUAAUUCAAAUUCAAAAGGAAGAACAAUAAGAAAAAGAAACGAACCACAAAU
rnacentral:misc_RNA from 1 species